rnacentral:rRNA from 1 species
UACGAAGGGGGCUAGCGUUAUCCGGAAUUAUUGGGCGUAAAGCGCGCGCAGGCGGUUUCUUAAGUCUGAUGUGAAAGCCCACGGCUCAACCGUGGAGGGUCAUUGGAAACUGGGGAACUUGAGUGCAGAAGAGAAAAGCGGAAUUCCACGUGUAGCGGUGAAAUGCGUAGAGAUGUGGAGGAACACCAGUGGCGAAGGCGGCUUUUUGGUCUGUAACUGACGCUGAGGCGCGAAAGCGUGGGGAGCAAACAGG